GAAGGGAAAGAGCGUGUUGAAUUACAAAGUUCAGAGGGCAAAUACAGCUCUUCUCUGUCUCUCUGGAAAUGUAUAAGCUAAGCAGCAAGCCAGGUGGUAAAGCCCGAUAUCGGGCGGGAGCGCUGGGUCCCAAGAGGUAGGCUGAUGACAGCUGAAGAAGACUGUAUUUGCUGAGGAGCAGCGUGAUGGUAGAGAGGAGCAGAGCUCCUGAGGGAGACCUAAUGGUUCCUCUCCUUCCUGCACGGAGAUAAAGACUUAUAAUAAGCGUGCAUGUUCACCAUCUGGCUCUGUGCAUGUGGUCCUUAUGGAGGGGAGAGCAGCACAAUCUGUAAAUGAUCAGAAGCCAUGGCGCUCUCUCCAGAGAAUCCACGAUGCAAUCAAGGUGACAGAUGGCAUGGCCACUGCUGUGGCCUCAUGGAGAAGAUCAAAAUCACCUUCAAUAAACUCUGACUGAAAUGGGCACGAGCACCUCAAAAAAGUCAGUUUGUCAGUCAAACUGCGACAGCAAGCUGCAUUGGGGAAACAUAGCGGCCAGCUCUCUGUUUUCAAUCGUUUCCGUCUGACUGGGCCUGAACUAUGAUCUUUCUCAAAUUGUCCUUUCUGUUUAGCUGAAGCAGGCCAGCAAAUUGCCAGAUUCAUCGCUUUAUUGAAGAAAAUUGAAAACACGAUGUCCUCAAUUCCGGGGACGCACGGCUGGCAGGUGCUGGGACACCCAAGCACUGAGAGUGGGUCCCUGUGUCUUCAGCCUAAGUUUGCUCAACUUGAGGCAGAUUUUUGGAAAUGAAAAUAAAAUGCAAAUGUACGCCUGGCCUGAAAAGAUCAGCUGGCAAUGGAUAUAUGAAGCGUUUUAGGUGUCCAAUAAAUGUGUGUCGAAUAAACACAUGCUUGAAAAGAGAAGGAGGAAGGAAGGAAGGAAGGAAGGAAGGAAAGAAGGAAAGAAACGGAGUUGCAGAAGUCUCGGUGUCGUUGGUACCAUGUAUUUUAAGAGCAGGCUGCCUUAAUGAUGGAUUUGGUAUCUGUUUCCUUUUCUAUGCAUAUUUAUCGAAUAUAGGUUUGUGAAUUUGAAGUCUUGGACUUAAGGUCAAUGAAAUAUAGGCGUAUUAUUUUGUCCUGAACAAAUUGUGUGGGAUUUGUGGAGUCAGCAAGUCUGGACAAAUUUCCAUUUUUGACCCCCCUCCACAACUGAAACCUUUCCGAAAGCUCCAACUGUUCAUAAAAUGAGAGGGGAAUGAGUCAAAGUUACCUGCAGUGGGAGAAAAACACCGUACUGUUUUUGAGAGGUGCUUCUGAAUGCUAAUGUCCUGCUCUGGAGAUUUACAAACACAACCAGAGAGCUUCAUCCUGCAAUCUGUGUACACAAAACAAGAGAAACUACAAGAAAGGGCUCACAUUUUGAAUAAACAGGAAUAGCAAGAACUUUGCAUAUGAACUGUCUUUUCACAGAAGUGUAGCUGACGUGGUACAUAUCACAGUGAUAAGCAGUCUCCAGGAUCAGAGGACUCAAUUCAUUCAGGAAAUAUCUACUGUGCACUGAACACCUGAGCGGUAGAGGCUGUGCUAGGAGCCUGUGCUAGGUAGGUUGUGCUAGAGGUAGGCUGUGCUAGGCUGUGAAAUAAAACUUCACAAGGAAAAGUAGGUAGCAAACAGCUCUUUUAUGGGCACUCUGCUCUGCCUACCCCUUCCCCCUCGGGCUGGCUCUCCAGUGAGCAGGCUUCCCAUUUCAUCAAUAAUAGCUCUUGUGGAACACACGGCCGGACAUGUGAGCUGGUGGGAGCCCGCUGUCCUGUCCCCGGGGACGCUGUGUGUAUUCUCUGUCCCGGCCUUUGGCUCUCAGGGAUGACAGGUUCUGUAACAGACAUGUUCAUCAACAUGGCCACAAGGAGGGGUGGCAGGGACGGGUCAUUUCUGUCUUUUGGUAGCAGUGUGUUCCCCAGACUCUGGUUGCUAGCGGAGACUAAUGCUUCAGAAAGGCAAACGUUGUCUAACCCUUUUCCUUAAGGAAAAAAGAUUGUACGGGGAAAUUCAGCAGUGGGGGCCAGAAGGUUAAAGUAGCUUAUACUGGAACAUGUCUGUUUUGAGGCAUACAUCCAGCAUGAAGUUCAGUUAUCAGAGCUUGGCCCGAAUUCCGAUCAUUAUGUUCUUUCUCGUCCUCUCUGGUGCCGAGUGUCACCUGAUCAUAUGCAAAUUGCAUAAUCAUAUAUCAUUACUCCCUUUUAUGUCCUAUCAUUCCCAGAUAAUAAAUUGCUUAGAGUAAGUUUCUUUGUGGUAAUUUGAAAACAUGGGUUUGUCUGCAGAACUUUUUCUUUAUAAUGCCGCGUAUACGCGCUUGCCCUGUAUCUCCAUGGGUGCGGCAGGUAAGAGGAUGUACAAAUCUUCGCAUUUCAUCAGCUCUGAACCCCAGAAGGAGAAUGGCUUGUGGCCAUAAUAUGGACAGUAGCGCCAACAUGGACUGAGCAAUUUUUAAUCGCGGAGAGUGCUUUUUAUUUUUAUUUUUUGGAAGAUUGGUACAAUGCUGAGAGGAGAGGUUACACAAAUUUUAAAACAUGCAUGCAAAAAGAUAGGCAAUCUACUAAAAACUCGGCAUUCCAAAGCCUGCCACUGGCCUGAAGUGACCUUGUGAUAACGUUAAUAAAUGAAUGCUUAUUUCCCAUGCUCUCUGUGCACCAAGGCUUUUAGACUUCUUUUCAGGAGGACAGUGUUGUCUUAUGUCAAAGGAGGGAGUGGGUGGCUCACUACUGGUUAAACAGCUCAGACAUAGCUCUACUGAUUUUGGAAUAAAGACAUGGAAUACCGUUCUGCAUGUGCAGGAUGUUGUCAUAUGAGCUCACAUCAGCUCUAAGUUGGGUAUUUGGAGGCUACUGCAUUUUUCGGUCAGAUUCCAACUUGAAGCCUCAAUGUCUGCAUUUUUUCUGUCCCUGCAUCUCUGAACAAGAAUGCCACCCAGUACAUCCAAUGCUUCUCAAGCUGUUGGUGUGUCUUUGCUCAGUUCUCAUGAUUUUUUUAUUACCAGAUUUGUGACUUAAAAAAAAUCUCUCAGCAAAAUAUUUCUGUUAUAGUAUGAUGUCUUGCUUAGGAAGGUUAAUAAACAUUUUACAGAACACAUUCAUGUUUUGUUCUACUGAUUGCUUGACACUCAUUUUAAUCUUCAUCAGGCUAGCAGUGAGCAAAUGGUUCCUGUUUCCCAUUAGAUCCCCCCACCCUCCAUAAUGAAUGAGCUGUUGAUCUGAUUUCAAUGAAUUCUCUUGGUGAACAAUCCACUAUCACAAAUGCUUUCUUUGGUCGUAAAACCAUGUAACCUCCAUACACAAAAGUUAUUUCUGGGGCAUUUUGUGCUGGUGGAGGGCAUAGUUCUUUUCUUGGGGGCUCUUAUAGUCAGCAACAACCUGCUUUCCUUUCUUCCCCAUGACACUUAAAAAAUUAUUAAGGUAGUUUUUUUUCCAUGCUUUCUCUGUAAGUGUGCAAAGACUCUAAAGCAGAGCUGUCCAAGAGACCUAUGACGCAGUCUACAAAUGUGGGUCACAUAUGUAACCGCUCCUUUUUCAUGAGCCGUAUUUUUACAAAGUAAAAAAAAGGAAAUGAAAUUAAUUUUGAUAACAGAUCUUACUUAAUCCAUUGGUUAAAUAAAAUGCAGUAUAUCCCUAUGAUAGAAUAUUUUUUAGUCA